UGGGGCCAGCUGGAGGGAGAUUUGGGGAGCACAGCUGAAGUUAUUUCAGGAGGAGGAGAUGGUGGGAGAACAUGGAGCUGCCUGUUGGAGAGCAAGGAGGUGUGCUGCUGAAGGCAGAAGACUGCAAUGUCUGUGGGACCAAAUGGGGACACAACAGGCAGCAGAGACCUCCAGCCCAGUGCCAGAGGAGGAGAUGGAUCCAGGCUCUGAUGGUGAUAAGACACGUUCAAUGGCUUCUCAAACCCACCUGGAUUUUGGCUAUGAGGGCAGCUGCUGACUGAUGGGCUGCGUCAGCACAGCGCCUUUUGCUCCGGUGUAAUCUCCUUGAGGACUGAAUUAUGCCACCCCUAUUCCUUGGGGAGCAGAAGAUGGAUGUUCCCAGUUACCCAAAUUGUCCCUGCCUGUCCCAGGCCCAGGAGCUUUCUCUCCAUCUGUGCAGAGAGUUAAGGACUGCUUGGUGCCUCUUCACACGGAAAGAGACCCAGGCUCUGAUGGCUCCGUCCUGGUCUCUCUGCCAUCCCCCACCGUGCUGCACCAGCUCCAGGUGUGAGCACUGCUGGAGUCACUUUGGGCAUGCACAGGUGCUGCUGGUUUCCCCCACAAGCACCACCCUGUAUUUGCAGCUGCUGAAGCCCAGUGGCUGUGAGGCAGAAUCAGAUCCUGCAUCUCCACAGCCACUUUCCUGUUUCCUGCCUAAUUUCAUGUCACUCCCAAAAUCUGCCACCUCAGUGCUUCCCCUUCUCCACAGUUUUCAGGAACACGGAAACCUAUUUGGAGGGCUCUAUUCUGGACGGCUGUAUUGUCUCAAGGAAGAUAACACUUCACAGAAGCUAUAA
rnacentral:lncRNA from 1 species